rnacentral:rRNA from 1 species
UUCCGGUUGAUCCCGCCGGACCCGACUGCUAUCAGAGUGGGACUAAGCCAUGCGAGUCGACGUAGCAAUGCGUGGCGAACGGCUCAGUAACACGUAGUCAACAUGCCCAGGGGACGUGGAUAACCUCGGGAAACUGAGAAUAAACCACGAUAGGUCACGAUUUCUGGAAUGGAUCAUGGCAUAAAUCUACAUGGCCCCUGGAUUGGACUGCGGCCGAUCAGGCAGUUGGUGAGGUAAUGGCCCACCAAACCUAUAACCGGUACGGGCUCUGAGAGGAGAAGCCCGGAGAUGGGCACUGAGACAAGGGCCCAGGCCCUAUGGGGCGCAGCAGGCGCGAAACCUCUGCAAUAGGCGAAAGCCUGACAGGGUUACUCUGAGUGAUUUCCGCUAAGGGGAUCUUUUGGCACCUCUAAAAAUGGUGCAGAAUAAGGGGUGGGCAAGUCUGGUGUCAGCCGCCGCGGUAAUACCAGCACCCCGAGUGGUCGGGACGAUUAUUGGGCCUAAAGCAUCCGUAGCCGGUUCUGCAAGUCUUCCGUUAAAUCCAGCCGCUCAACGGAUGGGCCGCGGAGGAUACUAUAGGACUAGGAGGCGGGAGAGGCAAGCGGUACUCAGUGGGUAGGGGUAAAAUCCUUUGAUCCAUUGAAGACCACCAGUGGCGAAGGCGGCUUGCCAGAACGCGCUCGACGGUGAGGGAUGAAAGCUGGGGGAGCAACCGGAUUAGAUACCCGGGUAGUCCCAG